rnacentral:rRNA from 1 species
CGUAGAGAAAUCGAGUCUUAAUAGGGCGUUUAGUUGCUGGGUAUAGACCCGAAACCAGGCGAUCUAUCCAUGAGCAGGUUGAAGGUUGGGUAACACUAACUGGAGGACCGAACCCACUGUCGUUGAAAAGCCAGGGGAUGACUUGUGGAUAGGGGUGAAAGGCUAAUCAAGCCUGGUGAUAGCUGGUUCUCCCCGAAAGCUAUUUAGGUAGCGCCUCGGACGAAUACCAUAGGGGGUAGAGCACUGUUUCGGCUAGGGGGUCAUCCCGACUUACCAAACCGAUGCAAACUCCGAAUACCUAUGAGUACUAUCCGGGAGACAGACUGCGGGUGCUAACGUCCGUAGUCAAGAGGAAAACAAUCCAGACCGCCAGCUAAGGCCCCAAAAUCAUAGUUAAGUGGGAAACGAUGUGGGAAGGCAUAGACAGCUAGGAGGUUGGCUUAGAAGCAGCCACCCUUUAAAGAAAGCGUAA